AGACCUAUGAUGACACCCUUGAAUGCAUUCGUUGGAAACUCUGAACAAAAUGAGUGAGAACGCUGUACCAUCUCCUCAUCAAAACGGAGGUCC